UGGGGAAUAUUGCACAAUGGGCGCAAGCCUGAUGCAGCGACGCCGCGUGAGGGAUGGAGGCCUUCGGGUUGUAAACCUCUUUCGCCAGUGAAGCAGGCCAUCUUCUUUGUGGGGUGGUUGACGGUAGCUGGAUAAGAAGCGCCGGCUAACUACGUGCCAGCAGCCGCGGUAAUACGUAGGGCGCGAGCGUUGUCCGGAAUUAUUGGGCGUAAAGAGCUCGUAGGCGGCUGGUCGCGUCUGUCGUGAAAUCCCCUGGCUUAACUGGGGGCUUGCGGUGGGUACGGGCCGGCCUGAGUGCGGUAGGGGAGACUGGAAUUCCUGGUGUAGCGGUGGAAUGCGCAGAUAUCAGGAGGAACACCGGUGGCGAAGGCGGGUCUCUGGGCCGUUACUGACGCUGAGGAGCGAAAGCGUGGGGAGCGAACAGG
rnacentral:rRNA from 1 species